rnacentral:rRNA from 1 species
UACGCAUUUCACCGCUACACAGGAAAUUCCACCACCCUCUACCGUACUCUAGCUCAGUAGUUUUGGAUGCAGUUCCCAGGUUGAGCCCGGGGAUUUCACAUCCAACUUGCUGAACCACCUACGCGCGCUUUACGCCCAGUAAUUCCGAUUAACGCUUGCACCCUUCGUAUUACCGCGGCUGCUGGCACGAAGUUAGCCGGUGCUUAUUCUGUUGGUAACGUCAAAACAGCAAGGUAUUAACUUACUGCCCUUCCUCCCAACUUAAAGUGCUUUACAAUCCGAAGACCUUCUUCACACACGCGGCAUGGCUGGAUCAGGCUUUCGCCCAUUGUCCAAUAUUCCCCACUGCUGCCUCCCGUAGGAGUCUGGACCGUGUCUCAGUUCCAGUGUGACUGAUCAUCCUCUCAGACCAGUUACGGAUCGUCGCCUUGGUAGGCCUUUACCCCACCAACUAGCUAAUCCGACCUAGGCUCAUCUGAUAGCGUGAGGUCCGAAGAUCCCCCACUUUCUCCCUCAGGACGUAUGCGGUAUUAGCGCCCGUUUCCGGACGUUAUCCCCCACUA